rnacentral:rRNA from 1 species
UUGGUGACCAGCGGAGGGAUCAUUACCGAGUUUACAACUCCCAAACCCAAUGUGAACCAUACCAAACUGUUGCCUCGGCGGGGUCACGCCCCGGGUGCGUCGCAGCCCCGGAACCAGGCGCCCGCCGGAGGGACCAACCAAACUCUUUACUGUAGUCCCCUCGCGGACGUUAUUUCUUACAGCUCUGAGCAAAAAAUUCAAAAUGAAUCAAAACUUUCAACAACGGAUCUCUUGGUUCUGGCAUCGAUGAAGAACGCAGCGAAAUGCGAUAAGUAAUGUGAAUUGCAGAAUUCAGUGAAUCAUCGAAUCUUUGAACGCACAUUGCGCCCGCCAGUAUUCUGGCGGGCAUGCCUGUCCGAGCGUCAUUUCAACCCUCGAACCCCUCCGGGGGGUCGGCGUUGGGGAUCGGGAACCCCUCAGACGGGAUCCCGGCCCCGAAAUACAGUGGCGGUCUCGCCGCAGCCUCUCCUGCGCAGUAGUUUGCACAACUCGCACCGGGAGCGCGGCGCGUCCACGUCCGUAAAACACCCAACUUUCUGAAAUGUUGACCUCGGAUCAGGUAGGAAUACCCGCUGAACUUAAGCAUAUCA